UCAGGACUGCACAUCCACCAUCAGAAGA
rnacentral:piRNA from 1 species